CAAUAGCGUAUAUUAAAGUUGUUGCGGUUAAAAAGCUCGUAGUUGGAUUUCUGUUGGGAACGACCGGUCCGCCCAUUGGGUGUGUAUCUGGCUUGUUCUCGGCAUCUUCUUGGUGAACGUUGCUGCACUUGACUGUGUGGAGCGCUACCCAGGACUUUUACUUUGAGGAAAUUAGAGUGUUUCAAGCAGGCAUAUGCCUUGAAUACAUUAGCAUGGAAUAAUAAGAUAGGACCUCGGUUCUAUUUUGUUGGUUUCUAGAGCUGAGGUAAUGAUUAAUAGGGAUAGUUGGGGGCAUUCGUAUUUAACUGUCAGAGGUGAAAUUCUUGGAUUUGUUAAAGACGGACUAGUGCGAAAGCAUUUGCCAAGGAUGUUUUCAUUGA
rnacentral:rRNA from 1 species